UCCCAAAUCCCACUUGGAUUAUCAGAGAUGUGCAUUCUUACUAGCCUGCUAGCCCGUGUCAGUUUGUCGAAUGUAAAAGGUAUUGUGAAGGCUAGUAUAAUAGAGGGUCGUUAUAUGGUAUCGCUAUUCGGCAUAGCAAACGUUUAAGGUUAAUGUCCAUCUCAUAGUGAACAAAAUUCACCCUGUUUCGGGUAAUGGAGGCACGAAAAACACCCAGUUUCACCUGCACAAUUUUUUCAAACUCUGAACUGAUGUAGGCAACGUUUCAGUUGUAAGAUACAACUUAAUACCGGUGUUCAGACGAAAUAAACCCGGCAGUUUUCACCCUUGGCAAUGCCAUUAGGCUUUACCACGCCGGAAGCUGGCGAUGAGCCUCGUUCUGACUCAUCGAACUCCGUAACGUAGUUACCGUUGCCGUUAUCGACGUCCCUUCUGUUUUCAACAGAAAAACGAUCGCUUUUGCUCCGCUGACCUCUACGUUUCGCUCACUGCUGUAUCAUUCCAAGUGUGUCUUCUUCCAAGAUGAAUACAAGGCUUCACAUUCAAGCUCGGGAGGACAUAAUUCGCUAUUAUGGCACUCCUGCGGCUGUGAGUUUGUGGCCGUCUCAGGAUGAGGAGUCCGACUGUGUAUGUAGUUUUACAUGCCCACCCUAUAAAUUCUUCCGUCUAGUAUAGCUGAUUUGUUGCACAUUAAGUCUGCCCAGUCCCUAUAAUAAAGUGUGAUUCGUUUUCUUUGCAAAA